rnacentral:rRNA from 1 species
UGCCAGCCGCCGCGGUAAUACGGAGGGUGCAAGCGUUAAUCGGAAUUACUGGGCGUAAAGCGUGCGUAGGCGGUUUAUUAAGUCAGAUGUGAAAGCCCCGGGCUCAACCUGGGAACUGCAUUUGAAACUGGGUAACUAGAGUAUGUUAGAGGAAAGUGGAAUUCAGGGUGUAGCGGUGAAAUGCGUAGAUAUCCUGAGGAACACCAGUGGCGAAGGCGACUAACUGGGCCAUUUUUGACGCUGAGAUACGAAAGCGUGGGUAGCAAACAGGAUUAGAUA